rnacentral:lncRNA from 1 species
UUCCUUCUGAAUGAUGCAAGAACUCCAUAGAACCAAUCCAGCAAAAAAAAUGAUGAUUCUCUAAAACGUCUAAAUACUUACAAAAUUAAUUCGAAAAAUUAAGUAACCGCCAAAAUGGUUCAAUCCACGAACUACACAGCCUACAAUCUCUCGAUUUGCUCCCCAAAUCGUUUGAGAAACCAUAGAGAGAAAAUAUAAAAAAAAUUGGAAAACAGUAAUACAAUCAAAAAGAAGAUAAUAGAGAUCGAAAAUGGCAUCAUCUUCUUCUUCAACAACGGCCACCCAUGGCUACCACGCCUUCCUAAGCCACCGCAAACACCAUCCCUGCAUUCCCAAAUCCAACACAGAAAAAGAAAAAAAAAUAGAUCAAAACCAUGUAUUCCUCAAACUUAAGCAAAAAUGAAAUGAAAUUGAUUAUUGCAUUCAAUUGCAAACCCAGAUAAAAUAUACAACUCAGAUCUGAAAGGGGAAAAAAUUAACAUCGCCAAAACGACGCCGAUCGAAAAAAAAUCUCUGUUGUUUCGGCUGAUUCGUUGUUUCAAUCAAAUUCUCUCUUUAUCUGAAUUUGAUGUUUAAAACAAUAAGAUAACGAUGGAGUAUUUGGAGUCGAUAACUUUAUUUGAGAUGAUACGUGUUUGAAUCAAUUUUUUUGCUGCCUGCUGAAUUGGGUAUGUGGGUUGAUAAAAGAUGGAGAAAAUUAGAUACCGCUUUAUAUGAUUUCAUCUUUUUGUUUAUUUAAAAUGAUAAUAAUGGAAUAAAAAUUAUUAUUUUUUGACAUAUCAGCCGUAGCGUUUAAAUCACGUGAUUAAUUUAUAAUGUCACAAUUUAAAUUAAAUUAAAAUAAAAUUUUUUAAUAAUUUAAAAUUUAAAUAUAAAUUACUAUUAUAAAUUAUAGGUCAUAUUUUAUUUUGAUAAUUAAAAUUUUAAUUUUAUCAAUUAAAUAAUUAAAUUAUUAAUUUUUUUAAUUAAAAUUGUCACAUCAAAAAUUACUGACGUAACUACCUUAGUGAGACACAUCUCAGCUGAUGUGUAUAAAAAAAAUAGUUUCUUAAAUUGUGAUAAAACAUAUUUGUUAUAUUGAAGGGUAAAAUAGUCCCACCCUAUUCACUUAAUACAUCAAAACUAAUUAAAACUUCCAAUCAUUAAAUCAGAAAACUAAAACUUCCAAUCAUUAAAAGUUUUAAUUUUGUCGAUCAGAAAACUAAAUCAAGAUCGGUCAAAAAUCGAUCAGACCUUCAUCUCCAUUUUUACUUUCUUAAACUUCCAAAAUCUAAAACCAUUAAAAAUCGAUCAAAAACUCCUUUUAGCCAAACAUUAAAGAUCAAGAUCUGCAGCCAAAAAUCAUUAAAUCAUACAAUACAAAAAAAAUUGUAUAACCAUUAUAGGGAGCAGCGAAGUCAAGAAGUCAGAAAGCAAAAAAAAAUGUAUAACCAUCAUACAAUACAAAAAUCAGAAAACAGUAUAGAAGCAAACAAAGAAGAAAAAUCUCAAUCUGUACAACCUCCUUCUUCAACCUCCAGAUCCGGAAGUCAGGAAGCAGCGACGAACUCUUCAUCUUCUUCAACCUCCAGAUCUGUACAACCAUCAUCUUCUUCCGCCCCCUUUUCUCUCUCCUCCGACCAUAAAAACCCCCAUCAUCGAUUUUCAUGGCGGCAGAUUCGUGGAACUGGGAAAGGGAUAGAAAAAGAGAAGAAGUGUGUAGUGUAUGUGAAAGAAUGGGUGGCUUGUGUCGCGGCAGAUCCGUCUGACUCUUGUUAGAUUUAUCUUCUCCGAUUGUGUUGUGUAUGUGAAAGAAUGGGUGGCUUGAAGAAUUUGGUUGUUGAUGAUGGAUUUAAAAGAGUAGAUCUGAUCUGAUUUCUCUUCUGAUAUGUUUAAAUUUAUUUUUUGUUUUUCUUUCUAAUUUUGUGAUAUACUAAAACAUUUAAAGAUUUUUACUUUUUAGUAUAUUUUUAUUUUAAAUAUUAUUUGUAACUUGUUUUAAAUUUAUAAAUUAAUUUGAUUUAUGUUAAUUGUCGUUGGACCAAUUUAC